rnacentral:rRNA from 1 species
GUGCCAGCAGCCGCGGUAAUACGGAGGAUCCAAGCGUUAUCCGGAAUCAUUGGGUUUAAAGGGUCCGUAGGCGGUUUAGUAAGUCAGUGGUGAAAGCCCAUCGCUCAACGGUGGAACGGCCAUUGAUACUGCUGAACUUGAAUUACUGGGAAGUAACUAGAAUAUGUAGUGUAGCGGUGAAAUGCUUAGAUAUUACAUGGAAUACCAAUUGCGAAGGCAGGUUACUACCAGUUUAUUGACGCUGAUGGACGAAAGCGUGGGGAGCGAACAGGAUUAGAUACCCUGGUAGUCCACGCCGUAAACGAUGGAUACUAGCUGUUGGGCGCAAGUUCAGUGGCUAAGCGAAAGUGAUAAGUAUCCCACCUGGGGAGUACGAACGCAAGUUUGAAACUCAAAGGAAUUGACGG